AAAAGGUUAGUGUAAUUAAAGACUAGUCAAUAUUUCACAUUGCCUUUUGCCAUUUCCAUUAGAAACCACUUGACAACGAAUCAGAAACACGUUGGAGGCGUCAUUCAAAUGCCCGGGAACACAACUGGCUCCAAUUGAAUGCAGCAGCUUGGCACAUGCAUUGAUAGGAGAGUGGAUAGCUAUCAUACCAAGGCCAUAGACAAGGUCAAGGAUAGCAGGGUUUGGUACACGAAUCGGGUUCUCGGUAGGUCCAGGUCCAAACACCAACAGGUAAGUCCAAAACAGAACAGUCCAUACACGGUAAAUCCAGCCAAUAUCUAUUCUCUUUCUCUACAAUUCAUAGAUCCUUCCAGCCCUCCCUCUCCCUCUUCCUGGUUUUUCUUGACCCUUUAUCUCUGGGUCGACUCCACCUUCUGAGGGUUCCCCUUGCUUCUGAGACUUGUAGUUUUGGCGGUCGGCUAUUUUGUGAUCUGUAGUUCUGAUCGGGUGGCCAUUUUAGUGAUCGGGCAGAGCCCAUUUAUUAGUUCUGCUCUCACAUAUCUGCCAUUUAUCACUCGACCCCCUUCGUUGCCACACUUGCUAGCUAGGUAGUUUGUUGUAAGCCAAUCCCGCCUGAUAACAUGUGUUUUUCUCUCUUUCUACUUCAACAGUUCCUUGAAUUAGAAUUGAGGAAAUUCCCUGCAAUCCUCAAACUGGAGUAAGAUUCAUAGCUAAGCUUAGUUUAGCAUUCUGAGUAGCUUAACAUGGAAGUACAAAGAAAUUAUCGCUGUUGUCCCUUCAGUAGUUAAUUGGAACCUAGAUUAAAAUCUACCAGCUACUUCUUUUUCUUUGUUACAGGUAAGUCAAAUAUAGAGAAACUGGGAACAUAAUCAGGUCUUUCCAAAGAAUUGGCAUGUUUUCCCUGUGGCCUCACUGUUAAAACAUUACGAGGUUAUGUGGAUCAUCAGUAAUUACACCGAUAUGAAGCAAAUGGCCAAUAUGUAUGCUGCAUGGUUAGCUGCAAAUCUCAUUUUACAAAACAAUGCUUUUAAAAGUCAUAUGCGUCGUCAUCAUCAUAGAGUCUGCUGCAUCACAAUGUGACACAAUGCAAGGGCCGUUUACGUGGGGAAAUCGUCAUUGUCAGAAACAAUGCCUUGAUCUGAAGGAUCUUCUAGCUCGUCUAAGGUCACGUGUUUCAUAAAGAGAAAAGGUCAAAUGCCCAUUCAGACUGUGGCCUUUACAUUAAGAUCCUCUUUUACCGCCCACAUUUCAAGGCAGCAUAGGUAUGCUACAGCUGCACAUGUCCAAUUAUUCGGUUCAGUCAGUGAGUUCUCAUGAUGAUGCUGAAAGUCUGUUUGGUGUAGAUCUUAUUUAUGAAGGGCUAGAGGAUAUACUAAACCCAGCUGUUAUGAUAAGUCUGUAUAUAAAACAUCUGUGUAUGUUUUACAGGCCAAGAAUCUAAUUCCCUCCUCUACAAUACAAAUGAUUGUUGAUGAGAUUAAUAGUCUUAAUGGACUUAGUCAUCAGUACACUCAAGAUCAACUCAAGGUUGCCCUUCAGUCUAAUACUAACUUGAAAGAGUCUGAAUUUGAAGGUGUUUUAUAGACCUUGAAGGACACAGAUUUGCAUGCAUCCUGUGGCUCUACUUUAUCAACUGAAUAUUUGAGAAGGUGGUAUUUCCUGAGGAACUUUUCCUAUGUGUAUACUCAACCUAUAAGUUUAGGUACAGAUGAAAACCGAAAUAAACAAUAUGCUCAGUGUAUCCAUAUAACAGAGGCAUUGAAAGCUAUGCUCAAGGAUCCAGUUGUUUGGCAGGAAUGUACAAAGACAAUAAAGGACACCACAUGUACUUCUGCACAUGAGUUGAAUUAUGUUUGUGACAGAUCUGUGUUCAAGUCUAAUGCUGUAUUUAUGAACUCAGGUGCAAAUCUAAAGCUUGUAUUGUAUCAAGAUGCUUUUGAGGUUGUUAUUAACCUCUAGUUGCAAGGCAGUAUCGACAGCAGUAGUUGGAGGUACUAACAUUUUCUGUGAAUCCUCCUAUGUUGUGAGACCCAAAAUUAUCAUCAGUAAUGCAAAAGACUGCUGCCUUUACAGCAUGUCCAGAUAUCUCCAAUCCAUUUGUUUCUAAAUCUCUGAGAUCCGACAGCAUUAUAGAAAAAAAGCUUGUCAUGGCCAAAAUAUUUAAAGUCUCUCUCAUUACACAAUAACAUGAGCUGUAAAUGAUCAAUAUUGGAGCGAUAAAAUGGAUCAAAGUUUGCGGGCAUAAAGUAGACACCCACAAUCUUAUGUUUCGUCUUUGCUGGUCCAAGAGGGUUAACUGUUUGAUUUUGAUGAACCUGCUGCUGCCACAACAGUACAAAAUGACAAGGAGGCAGUGAUGGCAAUGAGACGGAAUCCAGAGGGUUAAAAUUUGACACUGUAUUUAAUUCCCUCAAGCACUUUCAUGUCUGUCAGCCAGGCCUCCCACCAUGCAUUGGUCAUGAUUUGUUUAAGGGGAUAGUGGUACAUGACCUAGACAUUUAUAUAAUGUACUUUGUUAAAGUAAAGAAAUGCAUUACAUACUCAGAGCUUAACUGCAGGAUCAGGCAGUUUAGCUACCAAGGAUCUGAUGUGAAUUCCACAUCCUCAGAAGUUGGUGAAAAGGGAAUUAAACUUGGUGGCCGGGCAACAGAAAACUGGUCUCUUUUGAGGCUCCUCCCUGUGAUAAUAGGCAAAAGAUUACUGAUAUAAAAGACAGGGUAUGGCAACUAACAAUCCUACUUAAGGAACUUUUGGAAUUAAUCUGUGUCCUGUCCAUUUCUGUGGCUCAAGUUACUUUGCUCAAUGUUCUGAUUCCUGAGUAUCUAAAGAAUAGCAAAGAGCUGUUUCCUUCUCACACACUGAAAUCAGAGAUGUGGCCAGAGAGUGAAACAUUUCAAAAAUGUGGAUUUCUGCAUAAAUUGGUCAUAAAAUUUCAUCUGAUCUUCAUCUAAGUCACAACAACAAACAGCCUGCUUAUUGAACUAAUAACAAAUUAUUGUAUUUUUUUUGUCUAUACUGAAUAAUUAUGUUAUAGCACAGCUGAAAACUGUUGUUCUGAUUAAUUAAAGCAACGAUAAACUGGCCUUUAGACUAGUUGAGUAUCUGGAGCAUCAACAUUUGUGGGUUCGAUUACAGGCUCAAAAUGGCCAGAAACAAAUAACUUUAUUCUGAAAUUCGCCAGUCUAUUCUUGUUCUGAGAAAUGAAGGCUAUUCCAUGUGAGAAAUUGCCAAGAAACUGAAGAUCUCGUACAACGCUGUGUACUACUCCCUUCACAGAAUUGCGAAAACUGUCUCUAACCAGAAUAGAAAGAGGAGUGAGGGGCCCCGGUGCACAACUGAGCAAGAGGACAAGUACAUUAGUGUCUAGUUUGAGAAACAGACGCCUCAGAAGUCCUGAAAUGGCAGCUUCAUUAAAUAGUACUCACAAAACACCAGUCUCAACUUCAACAGUGAAUAUUAUGAUAAUAAUCUGGUUUUUUUUAGCUUUAUUUUGUCAUCAAUUAAGGAGUAGCUGUCAAAUUCUCUAUUUUCACAAAUGACACCAGUUGAAUUGAGAGGAGUUUUUUGUAAUAUAGUGACAAUUAUGUGUUCUAGCUAUAUUUUGGCAUCAAUUAAGGAGUAAUGUCUGUUUUUUGCUUAACAAUUCUCUAGUUUCACAAUUGAUGCCAUUUAGAUCAAGAGUAGGUUUUGUAAUAUGACAAUUAUCUUGUGUUUUUGUGUGACUUUGGCAUCAAAUUCAGGAGUCAUUUCUGGGUUUAUGCUGUCUAUUUCUCUAUUUUCACAACUGAUACCAGUUCAAAUUUGGAAGUUUUUUGUAAUAUUAUGUUUAUAAUCUGUGUUCUUUUGUCAUCAUAUUUUGUCAUCAAU
ensembl:lncRNA